rnacentral:lncRNA from 1 species
ACAAAAGAAAGAAAACACCUAAACGCUCCAACGAUCCAAGUUGACAGCACGCACGUCCAAGCACUUUCCUUUCCUUCCUUUGCUACGGCACAAGGUGUUGGUGAGUGUUUGAAGGUUUGUUUGUAUGGAGGAAUGGAUGUAAAUAUGAAUGGAUGUGUUUGGAUGAAGGUUGUAUUGGAAUGGGAGUGAAUGAUCUAAAAAAAUAUGACCCCAUUUAUGUUACACACACUUCCCUUUAUAGAGGAAGUGCAAGGCAAAGCAUGGGUAAAAUGGAGUAGUGUUGAAAUGAUUCAAAGGUGAAAGUGGAGUAAUGAUGCAAAGCAUGGGUAAAAUGGAGUGGUGUUGAAAUGAUUCAAAGGUGAAAGUGAAGUAAUGAUGCAAAGCAUGGGUAAAAUGGAGUGGUGUUGAAAUGAUUCAAAGGUGAAAGUGAAGUAAUGAUGCAAAGCAUGGGUAAAAUGGAGUGGUGAUGAAAUGAUUCAAAGGUGAAAGUGAAGUAAUGAUGCAAAGCAUGGGUAAAAUGGAGUAGUGUUGAAAUGAUUCAAAGUAAUGAUGCAUGAAAUCUGAAAUGAUGGAGGGAACAAGGAAUGGAGUAGCAAUUAAGUGCAAGGAGGGAACAUGGAUGAUGAUAAGGUAAUCUUGACUCAUGUUUCUUCUUUGGUUGUUGAGCUCUUUGUCAUUUUUACAUUAAUUCUUCUUUCUUUUUAACACAUUCCAAGCCUCUGUAGUCUUCAUCCACCUUGCUCCAUGCAUGUGCUAUCCAUUCCAAACCCAAAACUGCUCCAAAAUUCACCUUAUUGCUUUAUAAGGCCUAUGGACCUACAAACACACGAAAAUAGCUUAAAAUACAUAAUUAACUAAGAAAUAACAACAUAAAUGCAUGUGAACAAGCUAACUCAAUCGUAUAAACAUGCUCCUAUCAAAUUCCCCCACACUUAGCUUUUGCUAGUCCUCGAGCAAAACAAAACAACAAAACAAAAAAAACAUAACCUAUACCUUCCAACAUUUGCCUCAGGGAUUUUCAAUGAAACAUGACAUGCCAAAGAUCACCACUCACAUAGAUUUAAGCGAUCCUUACCCUCGAGCAUACUUGAUCAUAGUCCCCAUUCACUAGCUCACAUUUAAUCAAUUAAAACAGCAUUUUGAAUGUAGUAACAUGCCUUAGAGAAUUCCCUCAAUUCCUUACCAGAUACACUCUUAUUUUCACACAAGAAUUUUUUACUACACUCCUUAUACUAGGUAUAUGUGAGAAGAUUGAUGUAAACAAGAAAACUAGUACUCACAUAUGUGUUUCGACAAAGAAACAAUUUCUGGAAUUAUUAAUGCAUGCAUAUAUAUGAUCUCAUGAACGGAUUGCCACUACUUAGAAGCGAGAACCAGUGAUAUCAUAUGCUCAUACCAAUUUCAAACUCCACAUAUUGAAAUACACAACACUAAAGAUGGAAGUCAAGGGUUCUAACAGGGUUAAGGGCAUUGGCUAACAAAGAAAGGUAAGGGUAAACAAAUGUUCUUAAAGCAAUAGUGAGCAAAGUAAUGAUUCAGGUACUGAGAAUUCACUUUAGAAUGUAGAAUCAACUUUUAAAUACAAAGGGAAGAUUUAUGCAACACUUAAGGCCGAAUUCAAUGUUUUGGACCCUUUUUGAACAAACUUUUUUCUUUUCACUCUUUUUUUUUUCCUACCCGUGCCUUAUUAAGGACUUUGGCACACACACACACACAAGAAUCACUUCCCCCACACUUGCUUUCUGCAAUGCAUUGAUAAAAAAGGAGUUCAUUUUAAGUCAUGCUUUACUAUGCUUCAAGAACAAGGGUAUGGAUGGUCCUAAAACUAGGCUAGGUAAGGAUAUUGUGGAUUAACAAAGAACAUAGGCUUAACAAGGCUCAACGGGGUUAAACUUAAACACAUAAUGAAAUAGGGGCACGGCAAUUUGGCUUUGGUGGUCACUACACAACUUCAUCUUGAAUAUGUGUUAUGCAAAUCAAUAGCAUGCUUUGAAUGAAAUUGGCAUGAGUUCUAGCAUUUGGAACUAAAUGAUGAAACGCCUUCUAAGUAGCAACCAAGCAAAGAAUAAUGAGAUCAUGCAACGACUUUAGGAAACAAUGAUGCACAAAUUAUUAACUCUCCAAAUAAACGUUUAGGCUCAAGUCUCACAAGGUUGUAGCGUUCAUUUGAGUUCCUUCCUUCAAGCAUGUUACAAAAACUGAUUUUUCCUUUAUGAUUGCAUGUGAAUUCAUAAAUUAUAACCACAACCAAGCAUACACCAAAGAGUAAAUCAAAUUUUCAUCCAUGUUUAUAACUCUCUUUAACAGUCAUGUAAUUAAAAACCAAAUCCUCAUCAUUGUGUUGGAAGGCACCCUAAGACACAAAUAAACACACAAAAAUAACUCUUUUUGGGUUUUUCAAAACAAUUUUUCAAAUUUUUAUGAGAUUUUGGGAUUUUUAUGUCAAAACACACUGAAACACUCCAAAACAGCUUAAAAACACUUAAAAUAGCAAGGAACAACACUAGAAGUAAUGGGUGAUAAACUCCUACAAAUUUCAUGCAAAGCAAUGGUUACCCCCCCCCCACAUUUAAAUCAAACAUUGUCCUCAAUGUUUCAAGCAUAAACUCACACAAAAAACAAGCAAACAAACAAACAACGAAUAAACAUGACCAGUAUGGCAAAGUAAAAACCAGACAGAGUAGAGUUUAAGAACGCAAAUCUGGUUUUGGAGAUAGUUGAUCUUGUUGUCUUUCCACAGCUUUGAUCUCGAACUGGUUUGGAAUUCUGAGCGAGGAAUAUGAGAGUUCCUUGGUUUCAAUUCAGAUUCCUUCUGCUGGGUUGAUUUGAUUGUGCAGUCUGCAUUCUUCUCUGCUUGUUUCUUCUGCACGGCAGGCAGGCACGAGGUAGAGGUGUUGGUCUGUUUCUUUCUUCAAUCUUUCCAAGUGCCCACCUCUUGCUUUCUUUCUCCUUGUCCCUAGCUGAGGAUGAAUUAGCACAUUGACUCCACAUGCUUCGAGGUAUCAUUUUCACUUCCCUUAUCUGUUCCCCAGGCAGAAGUGGUAGACGAAGCGGAAGCAUAAGAUGUUGAAGAUGAGUACUCGAAAGCAAGGCUAGGUAAGCAAUCAGGAGGGGUUCCAGGUAGUCGAUUCCAGAUCGGAAGAUUGAUACCAAGUGCUGGCUGAUUGCUCUCUUUCUCCUUGUCCAGCAGAUGAAAACAACGACAAGGAGAAGGACAGGGAGAAAGCAUGAUAUGAGAUACUCUUGCUUUCAACCUUCAUGAUAUGAAAUACUUUUGCUUUUGAUAGGUUGUUUACAGAGGUAUCCCAGGGUAUAAGGAACACUGAGUGACUCGAGAGGCUUUGUUGGGAAGGCAUUCUCAAAGAUGAAGGGUUAUGUAUGUCUGCAUUGCAAGGGAGGGUUAAGGUCUACAUUUAUAUGAAUUAAUAAUCGGUACUAUUCUUUCACUCUUGUCGGCAAUCGUUGGAUGAUUGAAUAGUAAUUCUUCACGUGCUUUCUACGUCACCAGAAAUCUUCGACUGAUUACUCGUAGUUUCCACAAAGCUGACUCUGCAUGUGACAGAUACUGACAUGUCUGGAAAAGCAGAUGCCUCUCUGUUAUUAGGAAUCGGCGCUUCGACAAACUGCCCGUGAUUUUCGCAAAGGUGACUCUGCAUGUGACAGAUGCUGACACGUGCAUCUCCGAUAUCUGAGCUUGCCUCUUCGAUCUCUGAAAUCCUGUCGAGUGCAGAGGUUGCAUGUGACAAGUGCAGACAAAUCUGGAAAAGAAGAUUGGCCGUGGUUUCUGAGCAAGCCCAGCUUUUGAGAAAGAUAGCGCCUCUUCGAUUUCUGAGCUCGCCUCUUCGAUCUUUGAAAUCCCGUCGAGUGCUGAUUUUUAUAGAGAUACGCAGGACGUUCAAAGCACACUUAAAUUUUUGCCUAUAGAAACUCCCUUCUUGCACUUCUACGAUCUUGACUUAUCCGACCUCUUCUUUCUUUAACACCUCUGAAAAUGUCUGGCCCCUCUGACCGUCGUUUUGACUUGAACCUUGGUGAAGAGGCAGUCCCGCCUUCUGCAGACAACAUAUGGCGCCCAUCCUUCAUAUCCCCUACUGGUCCUCUUAUCGUUGGGGAUUCGGUGAUGAAGAAUGAUAUGACAGCUGCGGUGGUGGCCAGGAACCUUGUCACUCCCAAAGAUAAUAGACUACUUGCCAAACGGUCUGAUGAGUUGGCUGUUAAGGAUUCUCUGGCUCUUAGUGUGCAGUGUACAGGUUCUGUGUCUAAUAUGGUCCAACGCCUAUUUGCUCGAACCCAUCAAGUUAAAUCAUUGGCGGCUGAAGUGAUGAGUCUCAAAAAGGAGAUUAGAGGGCUCAAGCAUGAGAAUAAACAGUUGCACAGGCUCGCACAUAACUAUGCUACAAACAUGAAGAGGAAGAUUGACCAGAUGCAGGAAUCUGAUGGUCUGAUUUUACUUGAUCAUCAGAGGUUUGUAGGAUUGUUCCAACAGCAUUUGCCUUCGUCUUCUGGGGCUGUACCGCGUAAUGAAGCUCUAAAUGAUCAACCUCCGAUGCCUCCUCCUUCUGGGGCUCCGCCGACUACUGAGACUUCUCCUAAGCAGCCUUUGUGAAGGCUUCCUCUUGUAUUUUCUACUUAAUGUUCCUUUUUUCAAUGAAUUUUAAUGUAAAAUACCUUGCAUAUCUGUCAAUGUUUCAAAAAUAAACCCACACCAAAAAUAAUUAAACAAGCAACAAAUAAAAAUGACAAUCAUGGCAAAAUAAAAUUGCAGAAAAGGAAACGUUUUUAGGAACGCAAAACAUGGGUUGCCUCCAAAGAAGCGCUUGCUUUAACGUCUUCCAGCCGGACGAUACCUCAUUUUAAGCUCCAUUAGGGCUCACGGCAUGGAGGGGUAUUUCCUCCACGAUAUGCUCCUCAAACAGGUCGUAAUAGGGCUUCAAAUGAUGCCCAUUCACCUUAAAUUCAUGGCUGGUUUUCAUGCUUUGGAUAUGGACUGCACCAUGGGAAAAAACAUUAGUAAUAACAAAGGGUCCAAUCCACUUAGAGCGUAACUUACCGGGGAAUAACCGAAGGCGAGAAUAAAAAAUGAGCACUUUCCGCCCCUUGGAGAAUGUCUUUGUACGAAGCAUCUUGUCAUGAUACGCCUUGGUCUUAUCCUUGUAAAUCCGAGCAUUCUCGUACGCCUCGUGCCUAAUCUCCUCGAGUUCAUUUAAUUGGAGCUUUCUAUGCACCCCGGUGGCAUCUAUAUCCAUGUUGAAGGUCUUCACAGCCCAAUGUGCUUUAUGCUCUAACUCGACAGGCAAAUGACAUGGCUUACCAUAGAUGAGCCGAAAAGGGAACUUGCCAAGGUGAGUUUUGUAGGCCGUACGAUAAGCCCACAAUGCAUCGUCUAAGCGCAAGCUCCAAUCCUUCCUUAUUGGCCCUAUAGUUUUCUCAAGGAUUUGCUUGAUCUCUCUGUUUGAAACCUCAGCUUGCCCAUUGGUUUGAGGAUGAUAAGGUGUUGAAACCUUAUGUGUAACGUUGUACUUUUUGAGCAAAGCCUCAAUGGUUCGAUUACAAAAGUGGGAGCCUCCAUCACUAAUGAGAACUCUAGGCAUUCCAAACCUAGCAAAAAUGUUAGUUUUCACAAAAUCUGCAACAACCUUAGAAUCGUUAGUACGAGUGGCUUUUGCUUCCACCCAUUUUGAAACGUAAUCAACAGCUAGCAAGAUAUAAGUGAAACCAUAAGAUGGAGGGAAAGGACCCAUGAAAUCAACACCCCAAAUGUAAAAAAUUUCAACAAAGGAUAGGGGUUGCUGCGGCAUUUGAUCCUUGGUACCUAUAUUUCCCAUUCUUUGGCACCGAUCACAUGUUAGACAAUAAGUUCUAGCAUCUUUAAACAACGUGGACCAAUAAAAUCCACAUUCAAGAACCUUUAAUGCCGUUCUUUGAGUGCCAAAAUGUCCACCACAAGCAUAAGUAUGACAAAAUCUUAUGAUCGAAAGAAAUUCACAAUCAUGCACACAUCUACGUAAAAUCUGAUCAGAGCAAUACUUCCACAAAUAGGGAUCAUCCCAAACAUAGAAACGUGAUUCUUUUCGAAGUUUAUCACAUUGGUGCUUGGUGAGAGUGCUAGGAACUUGUUUAGACACUAAGUAAUUCACUAGAUCGGCGUACCAUGGUUCACUUACCUCAAUGGACAACAACUGCUCAUCGGGGAAAGUUUCAGGGAUAGGCACGUUAUGCUCAUGCUCCUCAUGGACCAUUCGGCUUAAGUGGUCAGCCACCACAUUCUCUCUUCCUUUCUUGUCUCGGAUUUCGAUGUCAAACUCUUGAAGAAGAAGCAUCCAACAAAUGAGCCUCGGUUUUGCUUCCUUCUUCGUUAGUAAGUACUUUAAAGCUGCAUGAUCAGUAUAAACAAUCACUUUAGUUCCAAUUAAGUAAGAUCGAAAUUUAUCUAAAGCAAAGACAACAGCUAGAAGUUCUUUGUCCGUUGUGGAGUAGUUCAAUUGGGCAUCAUUAAGAGUCCAAGAGGCAUAGUAUAUAACAUGUGGCUGCUUGUCUUUUCUUUGCCCCAAAACAGCGCCUAAUGCAUAGUCGGAUGCAUCGUACAUAAGCUCGAAAGGAAGGCUCCGAUCGGGAGGAACAAUGAUAGGGGCCGAAGUGAGCUUCUCUUUGAGCUGCUUGAAUGCUGAUUCACACUCCUCAUCAAACUGGAAGGGCACAUCUUUUUGAAGCAAUCGGCAAAGGGGGUUAGAUAUUUUGGAAAAAUCCUUGAUGAAACGCCUGUAGAACCCUGCAUGGCCAAGAAAUGAACGAACCUCUCUAACCGAAGUAGGAGAGGAUAAGUGACGUGCAAGGUCUAUUUUUGAUUUAUCUACUUCAAUUCCUUUUUCUGAAACAAUAUGGCCUAAAACUAUACCUUGUUUAACCAUAAAGUGGCAUUUUUCCCAAUUCAACACAAGGUUAGUUUUAACACAUUGUUUCAAGAUCAAGGUCAGAUUAUCCAAACAAUUAUCAAAAGACUCCCCAAAUACACUGAAAUCAUCCAUAAAUACCUUAAUUAUCUUCUCAACAUAAUUGGAGAAUAUACUUACCAUACACCUUUGGAAAGUUGCAGAUGCGUUGCAUAGGCCAAACGGCAUGCGACGAUAAGCAAAGGUACUGAAUGGACAUGUGAAGGUAGUUUUUCUUGGUCAUCGGGAGCUAUCACAAUCUGAUUAUAACCCGAAUAGCCAUCAAGAAAACAAUAAAAUGAAUGACCGGCUAACCUUUCCAGCAUUUGAUCAAUAAAGGGCAGCGGGAAGUGAUCUUUUCUUGUCGUAGCAUUGAGCUUCCGAUAGUCAAUACAAACUUUCCAUCCGGUUUGGAUUCUGGUGGGCACAAGCUCAUUAUCUUCAUUUUUUACCACAGUGACUCCGGACUUCUUAGGAACAACUUGGACCGGCGAAACCCAAUGGCUAUCAGAAAUUGGGUAAAUCACUCCACAAUCUAGUAGCUUGAUGAUUUCCUUCUUCACAACGUCCAUCAUGGGUGGAUUGAGCCGGCGUUGUGCUUCUCUAGAUGGUUUGACUCAUUCUUCCAAGAGUAUUCGAUGCAUGCAAGUGGUAGGGCUAAUUCCCUUGAUAUCGGCCAAUGUCCACCCAAUGGCAGUUUUGUAUUCCUGAGACACCCUUACCAACUUUUCUUUCUCUUGUGUAGUGAGUGAAAAAGAGAUGAUGACGGGCAGUGUCUCUUGUUCUCCUAAAAACACAUAUUUCAAAUGGCUCGGCAAUGGUUUAAGCUCUAGGGAAGGGGGCUGGAUUACAGAAGGAAGCAACUUGUUAGUCGAAUUAGGAAUUGAAAUUAGGUUAGGAGACUUACCAAUAUGCCUUGGAUUUGACUCUAGGGCAGCAACCAUCUCCACCAAUUCUUCUUGAAUAGGCAUGGCAAGAUGUUCCUUGUUGUUGUCGUGUGCAUGCCUAAAUGCUAACCCUUCUUUUUUGAGUCCAAUACUUUGCGUGAGAAUCUUUUCAAGUGCAUCCUCACUCAAAUCAUCAAGGAAUUCCUACGCCCAAGAGUCAAUCACAUCAAUAGAGAAACAAGAGUGACCAUCAUGAUGAUAUCUCAUAGCAUCAGAAAUAUUGAAAUCAAUAACUUCCCCAUCAAAUUCCAUAGUCAAUGUUCCCUUGAAUACAUCUAUCUUUGUACGGGCAGUCUUCAUGAAUGGUCGGCCAAGUAAUAUUGGUAAUUGAGGGGAAUGGUUCGAGUCUUCCAUUUCAAGCACGUAGAAGAACGCUGGAAAGACUAGGUGAUUCACCUGCACUAAAACAUCCUCCAAAACACCUUUUGGAUAUGCAUUAGAUCUAUCGGCCAGUUGAAUGAUCACUCCAUCAUUUUUUAAUUCUCCCAAGUUCAUAGAUGCAUAUAUUGAAUAAGGCAUGACAUUUAUUGAUGCACCUAGAUCUAACAUGGCAGAUUCAAAGCGAGUAUUUCCUAUAACACAAGGAAUUGUAAAACUGCCUGGAUCUUUGCACUUAGGAGGUAAUUUUCGUUGCAACACAGCUGAGACAUUCUCACUUACCCUUACCACCUCUUUGUUCGAAGCCCUCUUCCUUGUAGUGCACAGCUCCUUCAGGAACUUAGCAUACUUGGGGACUUGUUUAAUUGCAUCUAGAAGUGGAAUGUUGAGUUGCACCUUUCUGAAUGUGUCAAGGAUGUCUUUGUCACUCUCAUCAUUCUUUGAUUGCAUAAACCUGCGAGGAAAGGGUGCAUUGGUUGGAAUAGAAUUAGAAGUCAUGGAAAUUGAACCCAACUUACCUUUGGUGGUCGAAUUAAGGUGUGUAGGUGGCUGCGGCAAAGAUUGCUCAAUCCUUGCCAAGGGCAGGCCUUGUUCCUUCUCCUCAGAUUGCAUAUUUUCGUCCUCCUUUUGAUUGGAUUUAGAUGGGCUGGGAUCAGAUCCAACUUCUUGUCCACUUCACAAGGUGAUAGCUUUGGCAGAUUCGAAGCCUCCCUUUGGAUUCACAUCAGUCGAACUAGGUAACUUACCUGGCUCUCUACUAAAUUGCCCCAUGAACUCAGCCAUUUGUCCCAUCUGUCUCUUCAAUUCAGUCACCUCUCGAGCUUAAUUUUGCACUUCCUUGGUGUAAUUGUGCAUAUCUUUGGCUUGAUUUUCCUGACCCUUGGCCAACGUAGUUAGUAACUGAAUAACUUGAGCAUUAUCAAAAGACGAACCUGAGUUAUUUUGGGCAGGUUGUGUUUGGGGUUGUGCGGGUGCAUACGGCCUUUGAUAGAAUCCCAGAGGUUGCUGUCUGAAUGCACUUUGUUGUUGGGUUUGUUGGGGCUCCCUCCAUUUGAAAUUUGGAUGAUCUCUCCAACCUGGAUUGUAUGUAUUUGAGAACGGAUCAUUCCUUGGUUGGUUUUGACUCCCAAAACCCAUGGCGUUGGCAGAUUCCCACCCUCCAUUCUCGAUUAAUUGAGGGCACUUAUCCGUGAGAUGUCCAUUCAUUGAGCACACACCACAAGCAGGUACACUUUGUUCUUUUGGUUUUUCAACCACCUGUGAAAGAAGAGGAGUAAGAUUAGCCAUUUGAUUUUGAAGUUCGAAAAUAGUACUUACCUCAUUAACUUGUUACUGCAGUGGGUUGUCUCUUUGACUAACGCCUUCAUAUUGUUGAGCAUUCAAUGCUCGGUUAGCAAUUAAGGUCUUGGCAGCCAUGGGUGUUUUGUCCACCAAAGCUCCUCCCGCUGAGGCGUCUAGCAUUUGGCAUUCAAUUGGUAGAAGCCCUUCGUAGAAAUAUUGAAGAAGAAGAUCCUCCUUCAUCUGGUGCAGUGGACAUGAAGCGAUAAGGGUUUUAAAACACUCAUAGUAAGUGGGAAAGGAUUCAACUUGGUUUUGCUGAAUGCCACUAAUCCUUUUGCGUAGUAGAAUGACUCGAGAAGUUGGGAAAAACUUCUCCAAAAAUGCCCGUUUCAUACUCUCCCAUGAUGUGACAGUUCCGGGGGCUAGCUCAUACAACCAAUCUUUAGCGUUUUCCAAGAGAGAAAAGGGAAAAGCCUUCAUUUUCAGAAUGCUCCCAUCAACAUUCACAGGGGUCAUGCUCGAACAAACAAUCUCGAACUCCUUCAAAUGUUUAUUAGGAUCUUCCAUGAAUAACCCAUGGAACUUAGGAAUAUGGUGCAAUAAACUGGACUUUAAUUCGAACUCGUCGGUCUUGUUUUGGGCCGCCCUUGGGUAUUGAAUGCAUAAAGGCAGAGCAUUGUCUAAUCCCGAAGCGGAAAGCUCCUUGAUUGUUCGAUUGUCUACUGCCAUAUCAUGGACUUCUUCAAAAGUCCUUGCCGUGGCCUCUUCUUUCUCUUCUACUUUGUCUUCUUCAAGAUCUGGUGCAGGUUGAGAUGUUUGGGGUUCUUGUUGAUUCCUUGGUCGUCUCAAAGUUUGCUCAAAAUCAUCGUCAAAGUCAAAGAUGUGCUUAUGAACAGGUUGAGAACUUCGAGUCAUAAACCACUUAAAACAAGAAAACAAGUAAAAUCAGCAACUAGGAACAAAAACACAUGAAAAUAAACAAAAAGAAAUAAUAAGGGAUUAGCAAAGUUGCUAAUCCCCGGCAACGGCGCCAAAAUUUGAUGCGAUGAAAGUUAAGCACUCAAAUUAAACCCUCUUGUUGUCAAAUUGUAGUAUAAAUGCAAGUAGGGAUCGUUCUAAACCAGGGAUUAUGAGGGCUUGCUAAAACCUCUAAACUAACUCAAAGACAUAAAAAUAAAGUUAAAAAUGUUUGAAUAGACUCAAAGGACUCAAAACAUAUUCUAAAGACGCAAAACAACUUAAAAACACAAACUGGGCAGAUUUGACUCUAACACAAUUUUGGACGAAUUUAGUGUUUUGGCUUGAAUCAAAACACUCAAAAACACAAACAAAAUCGAAAUUUAACACUUUGAAACAAGAAAGUAAAAUGGGGAUUUUGGUUUUGAUGAAUUUGAAACAAACAAACAAGUUAUAAAACUAGGUAGAUUGUAAGACAAAUUUGAGGAAUACGAUGAUGGAUGGGUUAGUUAGAGGUCCGUUCUUCACACAUGACACACUUGUACAUGAAUCGAUUUCCAAUUGCUUUUCAAUAAAUUAUGAUGCUCAACACCCCAGAUUAACCGUGAUGCACAAAUUAAUCCUCAGAUUUUCCUUUACUCAUUGAAUUGGAUGAAUGCAUGCGACAACCCAAAUCAUUCUCUAAAAGUCCCCUAUAUGAAUGCAUAAUAGAGAUACAAUCAGAGAUCAUUAUGUUCAAUGAAAAUCAUUAGUGUUGACGAGGCAAUUAUAACUAUGAAUGCAUGAUACAAUUGCCAAGAAUUCAAUUAACGCCAUUGUGAUAAACAACCUUCACUACUCAUGAAUAUAAACUUGUAAUGCUUAGGUGAAACUCAUUUAUAUUCUAGCAUCUAAUUCAUCCAUGAAAAUUAAGUAUGCAUCCUUAAUAAACAUACAAGAAUCAAUUAUGAAUAAAAUAGAUAAUUGAAUUGCAAUCACAACUUAUCAAAUCACAAUUGGAAGAAAUCAAUUCAUAUCUCAUGCAUGUUCAUGGCUUCAAACUUCCCCCUAACUAACUGGGGGUUUAGCCACUCAUAAUUGCAAAAAAAUCAGAAAAUGAAUUUAACAUUGGAAAAAAAAGAAAGAAAACAUCUAAAUGCUCCAACGAUCUAAGUUGACAGCACGCACGUCCAAGCACUUUCCUUUCCUUCCUUUGCUACGACACAAGGUGUUGGUGAGUGUUUGAAGGUUUGUUUGUAUGGAGGAAUGGAUGUGUUUGGAUGAAGGUUGUAUUGAAAUGGGAGUGAAUGAUCUAAAAAAAUAUGACCCCAUUUAUGUUACACACACUUCCUUUUAUAGAGGAAGUGCAAGGCAAAGCAUGGGU